AGUGAACGCUGGCGGUAGGCCUAACACAUGCGAGUCGAACGGCAGCACAGUAAGAGCUUGCUCUUACGGGUGGCGAGUGGCGGACGGGUGAGGAAUACAUCGGAAUCUACUUUUUCGUGGGGGAUAACGUAGGGAAACUUACGCUAAUACCGCAUACGACCUACGGGUGAAAGCAGGGGAUCUUCGGACCUUGCGCGAUUGAAUGAGCCGAUGUCGGAUUAGCUAGUUGGCGGGGUAAAGGCCCACCAAGGCGACGAUCCGUAGCUGGUCUGAGAGGAUGAUCAGCCACACUGGAGCUGGAACGCGGUCCAGACUCCUACGGGAGGCAGCAGUGGGGAAUAUUGGACAAUGGGCGCAAGCCUGAUCCAGCCAUACCGCGUGGGUGAAGAAGGCCUUCGGGUUGUAAAGCCCUUUUGUUGGGAAAGAAAAGCAGCAGGUUAAUACCCCGCUGUUCUGACGGUACCCAAAGAAUAAGCACCGGCUAACUUCGUG
rnacentral:rRNA from 1 species